AGCUCCAUUAGCGUAUAUUAAAGUUGUUGCAGUUAAAAAGCUCGUAGUUGGAUUUCAGUACGGGCCAGUUGGUCGGCCGCAAGGCCUGUUACUGGCUGGUCUGUUCUUCUUGUCAAAGACUGCGUGUGCUCUUCGUUGAGUGUGCGUAGGAUUUGGGACGUUUACUUUGAAAAAAUUAGAGUGCUCCAGGCAGGCUUGACACGCUUGAAUAGUCGUGCAUGGAAUAAUGGAAUAGGACGUCGUUUCUAUUUUGUUGGUUUUCGGAUAUCGACGUAAUGAUUAAUAGGGACAGUCGGGGGCAUUAGUAUUCAGACGACAGAGGUGAAAUUCUUGGACCGUCUGAAGACUCACUACUGCGAAAGCAUUUGCCAAGAAUGUUUUCAUUAAUCAAGAACGAAAG
rnacentral:rRNA from 1 species